GGGCCCGCACAAGCGGAGGAGCAUGUGGCUUAAUUCGAUGCAACGCGAAGAACCUUACCAGGGCUUGACAUGGGGACCCUUCGGGGGUGGUAGCGAAAGUUACCUUUACCAUCACAGGUGCUGCAUGGCUGUCGUCAGUUCGUGCCGUGAGGUGUUGGGUUAAGUCCCGCAACGAACGCAACCCCUAUGUUUAGUUGCCACCGUGGGUUCGCCCACGAGCACUCUAGACAGACUGCCCGUACAAGCGGGAGGAAGGUGGGGACGACGUCAAGUCAGUAUGGCCCUUACGCCCUGGGCUGCACACGUGCUACAAUGGCCAGUACAGAGGGGAGCGAAGUUGCGAAGCGGAGCGAA
rnacentral:rRNA from 1 species